rnacentral:rRNA from 1 species
AGCGGCGGACGGGUGAGUAACGCGUAGGAAUCUACCUAGUAGAAGGGGAUAGCCCGGGGAAACUCGGAUUAAUACCGUAUAACUCCUUAGGGAGAAAGAGGGCUUAGCUUUGAUGCUCUCGCUAUUAGAUGAGCCUGCGUAAGAUUAGCUUGUUGGUGAAGUAAUGGCUCACCAAGGCGACGAUCUUUAGCUGGUCUGAGAGGACGAUCAGCCACAUUGGGACUGAGACACGGCCCAGACUCCUACGGGAGGCAGCAGUGGGGAAUAUUGGACAAUGGGCGCAAGCCUGAUCCAGCCAUACCGCGUGUGUGAAGAAGGCUUUCGGGUUGUAAAGCACUUUAAGUAAGGAGAAAAAGAUUGUAGUUAAUACCUGCAAUCCGUGAUGUUACUUACAGAAUAAGGACCGGCUAAUUCCGUGCCAGCAGCCGCGGUAAUACGGAAGGUCCAAGCGUUAAUCGGAAUUACUGGGCGUAAAGCGCGCGUAGGUGGUUUUUUAAGUUGGAUGUGAAAGCCCUGGGCUCAACCUAGGAACUGCAUCCAAAACUAGAUGACUAGAGUACGAAAGAGGGAAGUAGAAUUCACAGUGUAGCGGUGGGAUGCGUAGAUAUUGUGAAGAAUACCAAUGGCGAAGGCAGCUUCCUGGUUUUGUACUGACACUGAGGUGCGAAAGCGUGGGUAGCGAACAGGAUUAGAUACCCUGGUAGUCCACACCGUANACGAUGACAACUAGCUGUUGGGAGACAAGAUCUCUCAGUGGCGCAGCUAACGCUUUAAGUUGUCCGCCUGGGGAGUAC